GGUUUCAUGUUGUAGUUGGUUAUCACGUUAGUCUAACACACUGAAUGUCUCCGGUUCGAGUCCGGCCGACGCCA
rnacentral:tRNA from 1 species